rnacentral:rRNA from 1 species
CCCUUAGACGUUCUGGGCCGCACGCGCGCUACACUGACGGAGCCAGCGAGUAUAAACCUUGGCCGAGAGGUCUGGGAAAUCUUGUGAAACUCCGUCGUGCUGGGGAUAGAGCAUUGUAAUUAUUGCUCUUCAACGAGGAAUUCCUAGUAAGCGCAAGUCAUCAGCUUGCGUUGAUUACGUCCCUGCCCUUUGUACACACCGCCCGUCGCUACUAUCGAUUGAAUGGCUUAGUGAGGCUUCCGGAUUGGUUUAGAGAAGGGGGCAACUCCAUCUUGGAACCGAGAAGCUAGUCAAACUUGGUCAUUUAGAGGAAGUAAAAGUCGUAACA